rnacentral:rRNA from 1 species
UACGUAGGGUCCAAGCGUUGUCCGGAUUUAUUGGGCGUAAAGAGCUCGUAGGCGGCUCGGUAAGUCGGAUGUGAAAACUCGGGGCUCAACCCCGAGACGCCAUCCGAUACUGCUGUGGCUUGAGUCUGGUAGGGGAGAACGGAAUUCCUGGUGUAGCGGUGAAAUGCGCAGAUAUCAGGAGGAACACCGGUGGCGAAGGCGGUUCUCUGGGCCUUACCUGACGCUGAGGAGCGAAAGCGUGGGGAGCAAACAGG